GAGUGUGCGCGUGCGCGGUGCCUUCUUUUUCUAAACCAGCGUAUCCGGUGUUUCUGCGGGGAGGACAAACGGAGACGGUUGUGGAACAGCUGCUGUAGGACCCGUUACAUCCCAGAUUAGGUUGCUGUGAUGGGUUUAACCAGGAUUAGUUUGGGGCGUGUUGCUUGGUCUUGAGUUUCAGAUCAGUGAAGAAGAGAUCAACUUUAUAUAACCCAGUGGGAAAAUUACCUCCAGAGGAUUUUACACCUUCAUUUCCUUCCUCCAGUUUAAUUGCUUAUGUUGCAUGCUAACACGCCAGACAUCACAGAGGAUUUCUGAUUUCUGCUUGACCUCAGUGAAGGACCCUCAGUGAGAAACAGUGUGAACAUCUUCCAGGGUGAGAAACUGGGAGAGAAAAGGAAACCCAGGCGAAAGCUCGGAGUGUCUGCUGUUUUCUGUGUGGGGCUGGGAUUAAGAGCUACUUUGGACAGAGAGACAAUUGUGAAUUUGUGCACUGUUUUUGUAUUUUAGAUACCUGGCUGAUGAUGUUCUCCUUCCUUUUUGUUUGUGCUGUUGCUGUUAUGAGUAUCUGUAUUUUAUCUUUUUUAAAAAAAUCUAUAUUCGAUUACGUAUUUUUUAUGACAAUUGUUACCAUUUUGAUUUUUAUAUUGUACAGAUAUUAUGUUAUGUAUUGACAUUUGUGUUCUGUGUUUUAAACUACCUUGUGCUUUUUCUUUGAAGGGUGGUAUAUAAAAUACACAUAAUAAGGGUGAUGUGUGUGUGUGUAUAAAACAAUACUAAUAAUAUCAACAUCAAUAGCAAAAUAACAAUAAUAUAGUAUAUAUUUGAAUUGGCUUCUCCCAUCCUAGCAUGACACCACACCACCACACUGAUGCUAUGCAUGGGUUGUGCCCAUAAUUAAUCUUAAAUGCAUGAAAACAUUGUGUGAGUUGGCUAAGCUCAUCUUUUUCCAUCUCCACUGUGGUAUUAAAUCGGUUUUCUCUCAAAAAACUGCUCUUCAGCUCUGUACAGGCAGCACACAGGUGUCUUAACAUAUUUUUCAUGUACAAUAAAAAUGUGAACAGACUGAGUUUCUCUUCUGCUGUCAACACAGCACUGUGCAUUCUGUGUUAAUGUCCAAAACACUUCCUCCGCAGCACCACCCCGCGAUUCUCUUUCAGGAACAUGACAUGAAAACAUCAUGUCUGCAUGACAUGAAAACAUCACAAGUCUGUACAUACUCCCUGGAUGGGAUUGAAAGGAUUUAUUUAGUUAUGUUUUAAAGCUUCCGUUUGUUGCUUCAGACAAUUGUAGAUGGAAGAUUAUAUUCAGUAUAAGAGGCACCAAAGGCCAUUGGGAGGCUUCUAGGAAGAACCUUGUGGCAAGGGGGAGGCCAGCCUGGCCCCAUCCGCUGGUCACAGAAGGAGCUUGCUUUCUCCUCCAUGCCAGAAAGAACACUCCGCUCCAACUUCCAGUCUGCUUUAGUAUUGCAGUAGCAAAAUGAGAGGACAUUCUGGCCCCAUCCAUUGAGAGCCAUCAACUGCUAUUCAAGCAAGAACACUGGCCAGCGAAGAUCAACUAUAAAUUGGUGACUAUAAAUGCCUGGUUAUGGCCCACUGCUUCAGUCUGGCCUUAAGGAGUUGAUGUUCCAUUUCUCUUUCUUUUCCAUCCACUUCUUUUCCCUUGUGGGUCUUUGUGUGCCUGAUGGCAGUGCUCCUCUACUCUUUUAAAUUGAUGCAAGCUGCUUUGGGAGAGAAUA